rnacentral:rRNA from 1 species
AGACCGAUAGCGAACAAGUAGAGUGAUCGAAAGAUGAAAAGCACUUUGAAAAGAGGGUUAAAUAGCACGUGAAAUUGUUGAAAGGGAAGCGCUUGUGACCAGACUUGCGCCGGGCGGAUCAUCCGGUGUUCUCACCGGUGCACUCCGCCCGGCUCAGGCCAGCAUCGGUUCUCGCGGGGGGAUAAAGGUCCUGGGAACGUAGCUCCUCCGGGAGUGUUAUAGCCCGGGGCGUAAUGCCCUCGCGGGGACCGAGGUUCGCGCAUCUGCAAGGAUGCUGGCGUAAUGGUCAUCAGCGACCCGUCUUGAAACACGGACCAAG